rnacentral:tRNA from 1 species
AGAAGUUUAGGAUAGUCAGUCCAAGAGCCUUCAAAGCCCUAAGCAAACACAUAAAGUUUAACUUCUG